AAAGACUUCAUUUGUGCAUCUGGCAUGUAGUUGAGCUCACUCUACCCAUUUUGGCAAGGUGUGCCGUUGGGCAGCUGGAGGAAGCCACAAAAAGGGCCAACUGAAAGAAUCUCGCCAUCAAACACUACUCGGAGAAGGAAAACUUAUGGGACAUAACCACAUAGAGAACAUGCAAAGAGUGGUCCAGAAUAGACAGAUGGCAGAGCCUUGUUUGUGCCACAAGCGACACUUGACAGCACAAGAAGGAUUCGGAUGGCCUGCAUUAUGUUGUAGGAGCUGGGUCUUGGGAAGGCCACAGCGGAGGAAGCUGCAAUUGUCAAGACUAGAAGAGAUGAAGAUAUGCCUGAGGACUCCAGCAGAGGCAGUGAUGUUCUAAAGGUGGUGAGAAGAUGAGAGGAGGUAGAGAGAGGAUGUCAAGGCUACAGAUCACCAGAUUAUACCCUGAUUUAAAAUGUGCCAUCCAUUUAAAAUCAAAGUGUCAAUCAGGGCAGAAUUUGACUCAAAGGAGGUUGGAGAUAGUUAUAUUGAGUUGCUUCUUCCUUCAGGUCAUCUUCUUUGCUCUUCUUUACUCUUGUAGGUUUCUCUGAUCUUCUCCUGCUCCUAGCCAACCAACUUUUGCCUGACUGAUUUGGCUUAUUUUUCAAUCCUAUCAUUUAGCAUACCUAUCCUCAAAUCACCUUCAGACCCUUGCUGAUUGGUCAAUAUUUGUAGACCAAUCAUAACUGCUAAAUCUAUGGUGACCUGCACAUGUUUUUGGACUGAGUAGGCCUAGUUGACCCCUCCUCACAGUUUUGGAGUGACCUUUAACUAACCUCAGUCCAUAUUUGCCCAGCAACACGCUAGCCAUAGGUUAAACUGCUUAGAACUGCCAUCUCACUGCUCUUGGCUGUAUGUCAACAUUGAUUGCACACUUAAAUUACCAGACUUUUGAACUAUAAACCAUCACCUUAAUAUAUACAUAUUUGUUAACUUAUGCAUCUUAAUGUUAUGGUCUACUGCUGCCACCUUAUUUCUUAUCAAUUUAAUUUUAUUUUGGUUUUUCCCCUAUUAUCAGUUAAUGAUGGCAGAGCAGCAUUUUUCUGUGCUGUGCUUGGAAACAAAAUAGAGCAGCUCAAAAUCCUUCGUAUCAAUAUGGAUCUGCUUUGUACUGCUUAACAUUUUUGUUCAGAUCCAACAGUGGCAUAAAUCAGCAUAGUUCUACAGCGUUCUAUUCAAAUCACCAUCAAUUUCCAGUAUUUUGCACAUUAGGGUGACUCAUUUGUAAGUUAUGUAUUCUCUAAAAUUCUACACAAACAACAUUCAAGCAUUAAAAUUAUAUAUUUAAAACA